UACGUAGGGUGCAAGCGUUGUCCGGAAUUAUUGGGCGUAAAGAGCUCGUAGGCGGCUUGUCACGUCGGGUGUGAAAGCCCGGGGCUUAACCCCGGGUCUGCAUUCGAUACGGGCUAGCUAGAGUGUGGUAGGGGAGAUCGGAAUUCCUGGUGUAGCGGUGAAAUGCGCAGAUACCAGGAGGAACACCGGUGGCGAAGGCGGAUCUCUGGGCCAUUACUGACGCUGAGGAGCGAAAGCGUGGGGAGCGAACAGG
rnacentral:rRNA from 1 species